GUCCUGGUGAUAAAUAGUGGUGACAGUUAUACAACAGUGUGAAUGUACUUAAUGCGACUGAACUGUACAGUUAAAAAUGGAUAAGAUAGCAAAUUUUAUGUAUAUUUUACUAUAAUAAAAAAUAGCAAAAAAGUUUUUCUAGGGUAGUGCUUUUUUCACUGCAGUUUGGUGACCAUGUAGGUACAGUUUUUUGAAAUUUAUUACCAGUUAAAUAUGAGUGAGUAUAUGUGCCUGAGUUUGUUGUGAGUGUGUGUGUAUGAGAGAGAAAAAGAGAGAGAUUUGAGUUGUCAAAUGUAUUUCCUGCUGCUGUGGUGACGUUCCAAAAUGUUUGAAAGCUGUUGCCCUCAAGAAACUCUUGUAUAUAGAGUAACAGCUUUCAAGAUAUUUUUACAUUAGCCCACAAUAAGAAAUUCAUGUUUGAAUAUGUGCGUUGGUUGUACAUGUAAAUCUGAAAUAAAUCUUGGGUACAUGCCGAUACUUUCUAUUUUUUUCAUUGAGUAAAAAAAGUAAUGGCCAUGACCCACUAAAUUGAUUUUGUGAUCCACAAUUUGAAAAUUACUGUUUUAGGUUACGUUUCUGGGACUGGAAUUAUUGGGUGACGGUAAAAUCCAAACUUCCCUAGAUUUUGCCAUAUUUUAGUAUAUAUUUGUUCUCAGCAGAGUGGGUAGAGAUGAUGGUGGUUUGUGCCACUCCACUCAGGGGCAUUUGGAAAUGUGAAGUAAAUGUUUGUUUGUCACAAUGACUGGGGAGUGUUCCUGGCAUUCAGCAGAUAGGAUCCAGAUCGGUAAGUGUUCUGAAGUAUACAAGACAGCCCUGCACAAGCCAUGUCUCCUGUCCAGAAUGUCUUUAGUGAUCUUAUUGAAAAAUAUUGGGCCUGAUUGUGCUCUUUUUCUACCAUUUUCCUUGUUGUAUGGUAUAUAUUUAUUGGUAACACUGCCCUAUCGGAGGCAUGGGUUGUGGCAGGAAGAGCGUGGGGUUUAGAGUCCAGUAUGUGUGCUUGAAUCUUGAUAUUUAACCAGCUCUGUUUUAUCCCUGAACAAUUUAUCUGAUCUCUGUAUACCUUAGCUCCCUGAUCUAGAAAGUGGAGAUCACUAUGAGUCAUCUCUAUGAGCAUCUAUGAGUAAGGGUUUGCAUUAACAAGAUCAUGAGUAUUCAUUGUUUAAGCAAUACACACAUAAGUACGUAAUAAGUGAUUUUUACUACAUUAUGAAUGCGUGCUACUGAAUUUAUUUGUUCAGUUGAACCCAUUUUCUCAGAUUAGGAAAUACUAUCUUAUUUAAAUCUUGUCUUUACUUUUUUGUAGAGAAGAAAGAGAUACCUUACGUGGCCACUUGGGUUACUAGGACAUGAAGUAUAAGGAUUAAGAAAAUUUUUUUUCUAAGUAUCUCUCAUUCUAAUUUGUCUUAUUCUAAUUUAUCUCCCCUUGAUGUUUUGCUCCUCUCUGUUGUAACCUUACUAGUUCACAUGGAUGCAGUGGAGCCAACCACACCAGCAUCACAAGCCCCCAAAUCACCCAGCUCUGAGUGGUUGGUGAGGACCUCUGCAGCAGAGAAAGCCACAGACGCAACUACUGCUACAUUUUUUAAAAUGCCACAAGAAAAGAGCCCUGGAUACAGCUAGAGAGCAGGACUUCACCCUCCAGGAGCUGACUGGGUGUUGCUGAAGCAAAUGUUGGACUUUGUGUUAGAUAGUCUUGCAUAUCUUAAUCGACAUUCCCAGUCCUUUCACCACCAGAACCAACUCCUCUUUCAAACACAGCAGUGGAUUCUUUCUCUCAGAAGAUCAUGUUGUGGGAAUCUUUUUUUUAAAUAGUGAAAUAUUGAGGCAGCAAUUUUUUACAAAAAGGUCAUCCUCUGCUCUAUUUGUUACCUUGUUAUUGCUGUCUCAACAUUUACUACAGCUCCAUUUACAGAACUGUUGCUUUUUUGCAGUUGUCUUUGUUCUUGAAAAACCAGUAACUGCUUCUGCAUACCUUUUGUGUAGAGCUUUUAAUAUCAUUUGAGGAAGUUCCAAAUUUGUAGCCAGUUCCAAACAAAUUUAAAUAUUGAGUUGAGACCUGUAUGGAAUUGUGUUCGCAGGAGAUAAGGCUUGCCUUUGAGCCUACUCUUGAUUCAUGCAGAGUGCCAAUAAGAUAAAUCAACCAAGUUUUGGGGCCUCAAAAGAGACACCAGCAACUGGGCCUUGAGAACUUCCAUUUUUUUGCAGAUUGUCUGCAGAAACUCAGACAGCUCAUCAGCAGCAGCAGCUGUAUUGUAUUUUACCUCAUCUUCAGAGUUUAUGUUCUACUGAAAGAGGACGUGUGUAUACACACACACACACACACACACACACAGAUUGGUAUAAUGGAGAAGAUGGUUUAGGUGUACAGCAAAUUUAAAAUAGUCAGUGGAUUGUGUCUUACUACUUCAUGUCCCAGUGUAAGCCUUUAUGUCCUAAGCAGGACUUUAUUGUUAGUAUUAUAGGCUAAUAACCUGCAGCAGAAAUUCAUACUCUAUUAUAAUAAUGGCUUCUUGGGGCCAUGCUUUGGGGAAGUAAAAUGUCUUUUUGACAUGCCUUU
rnacentral:lncRNA from 1 species